CACCCUUUGUUUUUUUCACCCCGGCCAAACAGCCCUCAUUCUACUCAAAGAAGCCGCCCACCUCCGGUUUCAAUUUUUGGAACCUCCAGCCACUGCUCCCCAGUUUAUUCUUCUCCAAAACAGUCAGCCGCCGGCCAUCUUCUUUGAUUUUUUUUCUCCCCGGAGGCCGGCCAUUUCAAAGCCACCAACCUCAGCCCCUCCAUCUAUCCAGCAGCUCACAUCUCCCCCCUCAUUUCCUUCUCUCAACCGGCAGCAACCCACAACCCUUUCUCUUUCAAAAUCAAACCGAAGCAGC
rnacentral:lncRNA from 1 species